AUUGAACGCUGGCGGCAGGUCUAACACAUGCAAGUCGAGCGAGCGGCGGACGGGUGAGUAAUGUCUGGGAAACUGCCUGAUGGAGGGGGAUAACUACUGGAAACGGUAGCUAAUACCGCAUACCAUCAGAUGUGCCCAGAUGGGAUUAGCUAGUAGGUGAGGUAACGGCUCACCUAGGCGACGAUCCCUAGCUGGUCUCAGAGGAUGACCAGCAACACUGGAACUGAGACACGGUCCAGACUCCCACGGGAGGCAGCAGGGGGGAAUAUUGCAAAAUGGGCGCAAGCCUGAUGCAGCCAUGCCGCUUGAAUGAAGCAGGACUUCGGGUUGUAAAGUACUUUCAGCGGGGAGGCGUUACCCGCAGAAGAUGCACCGGCUAACUCCGUGCCAGCAGCCGCGGGAAUUC
rnacentral:rRNA from 1 species